AUCAUAUACCAUGAUCAAGUGAAAUUUAUUCCAGGAAUGCUAGGAUGUUUCCAUAUCCACAAGUCAAUCAAUUGACACACAAUGAAGGAUUAACAAAAUUAAGGGUAAAAGGACAAAAAAUUAAGGAUAAAAAUCAUAUGACCAUCCCAAUAGAUCCAGAAAAAGCAUUUGACAAAAUUCAACAUCAAUUAGUUAAAAACUAAACAAAGUGGGCAUUGAGGGAACAUACCUCAACAUAAUAAGGUCAUAUAUGACAAGCACACAGCUAAGAUCAUACUCAGUGGUGAACAUCUGAAAGCUUUUCCUCCAAGAUCAGAAACAAGAAAGGAUGCCCACCCUUACCACUUUUGUUCAACAUCAGAAGUCCUAGCCAGAGCAAUUAGGUAAGAAAAAAAAUUAAAGGCCUCCAAAACAGAAAGGAAGAAGUCAAACUGUCACUAUUUGCAGGUGACAUUCUAUUAUUAUUUAUAAAAUUUCUUUCUGAUCAUUAUUAGCAUAUAGAAAUGCAACUGAUUUUUGUACAUUGAUUUUGUAUCCUGCACCUUUACUGAAUUUGUUUAUUAGUUCUAAGAGGUUGUUUUGGUGUAAUCUUUAAACAACCCCAUUUACAAUUGCAUCAAAAAUAAUAAAAAAACAUAGGAAUAAAUUUAACCAAAGAGGUGAAGGUCCUGUACACUGAAAACUAUAAGACAAUGCUGAAAGAAAGUGAGGAAGACACAGAUAAAUAGAAACGUAAUCCAUGCUCAUAGACUGGAAGAAUUAAAUACUGUUAAAACAUCUAGACUACCACAAAAGAUUUAUAAAUUCAAUGCAUCCCUAUCAAAAUUUCAAUGACAUUUUUCAGAGAAAUGCAACAAACAAUCUUAAAAUAUGUAUGGAACCACAAAAGACCCUGAAGAGUGAAAGGAAUCUUGAGAAACAAAGCUGGAAGCAUCAUGCAUUUUUAUUUUAAAUUUUUUUUUUAAUCUAUAGUGAUCAAAACAGUUAUGAUAUUAAUAUUUAAAAAAAGACACAUCAGUCAGUGGAAUAGAACAAGGAGCCCAGAAAGAAACCCACAUAUAGUCAAUUUAUGACAAAAGAGCCAAGAACAUACAGUAUUCAUGACACAGUGUUGGAAAAACUGGACAACUACAUGCAAAAGAAUGAAAUUGGAACAUAUUUUACACCAUACACAAAAAUGAACUCAAAAUGGAUUAAGGAGUUGAACAUAAGACUUGAAACCAUGAAGUUCCUAAAAGAAAACAUAGUAAACUCCUUGACAAUGGUCUAGGCAAUGAUUUUUGGAUUGGAGACCAAAAGCAACAAAAACAAAAAUAAACAAGUGGGACUACAGCAAAUUAAAAUGCCUCUGCACAGCAAAGGAAACCAUCAACAAAAUGAAAAGGUAACCUACUGAAUGGGAAAAAAGAAUUGCAAGUCAUACAUCUGAUAAGAGGUUAAUAUCCAAAGUAUAUAAAGAACUGCUUCAACUCAACAGCCAAAAAACAAUCUGAUUAAAAAUGGGUAGAGAGUCUGAAUAGAUAUUUUCCAAAGACAUGCAGGUGGCCAAUAUACAUGAAAAGUUGUUUACCACCACUAAUCAUCAGGGAAAUACAAAUCAAAACCACAAUGACACAUCACUUCACACCUCCUAGAAUGGCUACUAUCCAAAAGACAAGAAAUAACAAGUGUUGGGAAGGAUGAGGAGAAAAGGAAAUCACUGCUGGUGGAAAUGUAUAUUGGUGCAGUUGCUAUGGAAAACGGUAUGGAGGUUCCUCAAAAAGUUAAAAACAGAACUACCAUAUGAUCCAACAAUUUCACUUCUGGGUAUUUAUCUGAUGGAAACUUGAACAUUAACUCAAAAAGAUAUAUAUAGAUACCCCCAUGUUCAUGCAGCCUGGGUGUGGAGGCUGCUUAAGAUUCUCUCUCUCCCUCUUCCUCUGCCCUUCCCCUGCUCAAGUGCGUGUGCAGAAGACACGAAUUGACAUUUUUCCAAAGAAGACACCCAGAUGGCUAAAAGACACAUGAAAAAUGCUCAACAUUACUCAUCAUCAAGGAAAUAUAAGUCAAAACCAUGAUGAGAUACCACCUCACACCUGUCAGAAUGGCUAAAACUAACAACUCAGGAAACAGAUGUUGGCGAGGAUGUGGAGAAAGGGGAACCCUCUUACUGGUGGGAAUGCAAUCUCAUGCAAUCACUGUGGAAGCUCCUCAAAAGGGUAAAAAUAAAACUACUUUAUGACCCAACAAUUGCACUACUAGGUAUUUAUCCAAAGGAUACCAAAAUGCUGAUUCGAAGGGGCACAUGCAUGCCAAUGUUUAUAGCAGCAACAAAAAUAGCCAAACUAUGGAAAGAGCCCAAGGGUCCAUGGACUGAUGAAUGGAUAAAGAAGAUGUAGUAUUGACAGUGGAAUAUUACUCAGCCAUCAAAGAAAUAGAAAUCUUCCCAUUUGCAAUGACA